CUGUUUUGUGCACUGUGCUGGUGAAGACAGCAGUGCAAGAAUAGGUGGAGAUGGAAUCAAGAAAUGCAAAACAGGAGUGAGUCCAUUUAGUACUGGAAAAACCAUGGAAGAGGUUUCUGCUGGUUUUGGUGUUGCUUUUCCUGACAUUCAACUACUGGACAAAGACACAGCUGUCAAAUGAAAACAAUAUUCAAGCCAGUGAACCAGAUGAUGAAGAUUUUGUCCUGUUUGAGCUCCUCAAGCCUCCCAAAGAUGCUUCUUAUGAGAUUCCAACCCUACAGAUUCUCUAUUUGAAAGAAGGAAGGAAGGAAGGUAUUCCAAGGCCUUAAUGCCAUCACUGAGCAAUAUCUUUUCAAACUAAGGAAGGAGAAAGGGAUAAAUGUUCCAAGAGGGUGUUACCAUGCAGUGAUGACAACAGAAAAAAAGGUUAAUUUUGAUUACUGGAGGCAGGUAAGGAUGGGUUGGUUGAGACAAAGAUUUUUCAUUACAAGUGGGAUAGAGCCUUGGAAUUUUGGACCAAGGAGACCACAGAACUGAUGUGGCAAGUAUCUUAAAGCAAGUUGAUAGUGAUGGAUGGGUCUUAUUGAGCAUUACAAAACAGCAUCAUUAUGGAAUGUGGAGAGACUGGAAAUGGAGGCAACUUGAGGAGAAAGACUUUUUGU